CCCUCAGUAACGGCGAGCGAAGUGGGAAAGCUCAGGCUCGAAAUCUCCGCGAAUUGUGGCCUGGAGAGGCCGAUGUCUGGUCGUUUCCCCCGAAGUUGACCUGGAACGGCGCGUCAGAGAGGGUGACAGUCCCGUGUCUGUGGGAAGCGUUCCGACGAGUCGGUCGUCAACGAGUCGGGUUGUUUGGGAGUGCAGCCCAAAGCGGGUGGUAAACUCCAUCCAAAGCUAAAUAUUGGCGCGAGACCGAUAGCAAACAAGUACCGUGAGGGAAAGGUGAAAAGCACUUU
rnacentral:rRNA from 1 species